GACAGAGGGUGCGAACGUUGCUCGGAAUCACUGGGCGUAAAGCGCGUGUAGGCGGACAGUCAAGUCAGGUGUGAAAUCCCUGGGCUCAACCUAGGAACUGCAUCUGAAACUGGCUGUCUUGAGUGUCGGAGAGGGAAGCGGAAUUCCGGGUGUAGAGGUGAAAUUCGUAGAUAUCCGGAGGAACACCGGCGGCGAAGGCGGCUUCCUGGACGAUUACUGACGCUGAGACGCGAAAGCGUGGGGAGCAAAC
rnacentral:rRNA from 1 species